CGAUGAACCUCCUUCGGGAGGGGAUUAGUGGCGAACGGGUGAGUAACACGUGGGCAAUCUGCCCUGCACUCUGGGACAAGCCCUGGAAACGGGGUCUAAUACCGGAUAUGAGCCUGGGAGGCAUCUCCCGGGUUGUAAAGCUCCGGCGGUGCAGGAUGAGCCCGCGGCCUAUCAGCUUGUUGGUGAGGUAACGGCUCACCAAGGCGACGACGGGUAGCCGGCCUGAGAGGGCGACCGGCCACACUGGGACUGAGACACGGCCCAAACUCAUACGGGAGGCAGCAGUGGGGAAUAUUGCACAAUGGGCGCAAGCCUGAUGCAGCGACGCCGCGUGAGGGAUGACGGCCUUCGGGUUGUAAACCUCUUUCAGCAGGGAAGAAGCGAAAGUGACGGUACCUGCAGAAGAAGCGCCGGCUAACUACGUGCCAGCAGCCGCGGUAAUACGUAGGGCGCAAGCGUUGUCCGGAAUUAUUGGGCGUAAAGAGCUCGUAGGCGGCUUGUCGCGUCGGAUGUGAAAGCCCGGGGCUUAACCCCGGGUCUGCAUUCGAUACGGGCAGGCUAGAGUUCGGUAGGGGAGAUCGGAAUUCCUGGUGUAGCGGUGAAAUGCGCAGAUAUCAGGAGGAACACCGGUGGCGAAGGCGGAUCUCUGGGCCGAUACUGACGCUGAGGAGCGAAAGCGUGGGGAGCGAACAGGAUUAGAUACCCUGGUAGUCCACGCCGUAAACGGUGGGCACUAGGUGUGGGCAACAUUCCACGUUGUCCGUGCCGCAGCUAACGCAUUAAGUGCCCCGCCUGGGGAGUAC
rnacentral:rRNA from 1 species